UUAAGUUGUUGCAGUUAAAAGCUCGUAGUUGAAUUUCUGGACUCGCCGAGAGGCGGCCUUUGGCCGACCACUCCGCAAGUUCAUCCUCGCCCUUCGGGGCGUCAUUUACUGUGAAAAAAUUAGAGUGUUUAAAGCAGGCUUUAGGCUUGAAUACAUUAGCAUGGAAUAAUGAGAUAGGACCAGGUCGUAUUUUGUUGGUUGCGCGAUUCGGUAAUGAUUAAUAGGGACAGUUGGGGGUAUUCAUAUUUAAUUGUCAGAGGUGAAAUUCUUAGAUUUAUUAAAGAUGAACUACUGCGAAAGCAUUUACCAAGGAUGUUUUCAUUAAUCAAGAACGAAAGUCAGGGGAUCGAAGAGGAUUAGAUACCCUCGUAGUCUUGACCAUAAACUAUGCCGACUCAGGAUUGGCACCCUUUUUUAACAGGGUGUCAGCACUGUAUGAAAAAUCAAAGUCUUUGGGUUCCGGGGGGAGUAUGGUCGCAAGG
rnacentral:rRNA from 1 species